GCGCAAACGCACCACCAGACGGACAGGAAAGGUUAUUACGGGAAAUGCCCGCGUAACGUCAUCAAACCUGCGUAAAGGAGCAUUGGAGUUGUAGUUUCUAUUUCGUGUCGCGACUCACUCCGCCAUUGAUUGUACAUAACCUCAAUAAUCCACUGUCUGCUGGAAGGAGCUGUUGUGGAUUUCCAGUAAAGAAGGAGGAGACGUUUAGCAAUUAAGGAGUUUCCAGCUUCCUCAAAAUUGUGGCCUACAUCACAGUCAAUGGGUCGCCACCCUGUGUGUUCACCAUCGCUCCUCAUCUGGCAUUCAGGCAUGCUACAAUGACCCAGUGAUGCUGUGUGACAGGCCAGGCAGGCCACUGCCUGUUUGUGUCAAUCCAGAUCAAUCACUCCCUCUUCUGGACGGACAACGUCAUCAACGCGCAGAAAGGUCACAGGGUGUGCUCAAGCCAGGCCUGAUGUGGUGAGCAGAGAGGUCAGUGUAGCAAGUAAACACCCUUGACUGACUGAGUGUCAUAUUAAAUAUAGACACGGUCGGCUUAUGAGCGAGAGGAGCUAUGGUUAACUUUUGUAAAGGAAGAAUUAAAUGA